rnacentral:rRNA from 1 species
CGGGGGGAACGCGAAGAACCUUACCUGGGCUUGACAUGCAUCUCUAAGCGCGUGAAAGCGCGUGACCCUUCGGGGGAUUUGCACAGGUGCUGCAUGGCCGUCGUCAGCUCGUGUCGUGAGAUGUUGGGUUAAGUCCCGCAACGAGCGCAACCCUUGUGACUAGUUGCCAGCGCGUUAAGGCGGGAACUCUAGUCAGACUGCCCAGAUCAACUGGGAGGAAGGUGGGGACGACGUCAGGUCAGUAUGGCCCUUACGCCCAGGGCUGCACACGUACUACAAUGCCCAGUACAAUGAGAACCGAGACCGCGAGGUGGAGGAAAUCUAUAAAACUGGGCCCAGUUCGGAUUGGAGGCUGCAACUCGCCUCCAUGAAGUUGGAAUCGCUAGUAAUGGCAGAUCAGCUACGCUGCCGUGAAUACGUUCCCGGGUCUUGUACACACCGA